rnacentral:rRNA from 1 species
AGUGAACGCUGGCGGCAGGCCUAACACAUGCAAGUCGAACGGCAGCACAAGAGAGCUUGCUCUCUGGGUGGCGAGUGGCGGACGGGUGAGGAAUGCAUCGGAAUCUGCCCAUUUGUGGGGGAUAACCUCGGGAAACCGGGACUAAUACCGCAUACGACCUACGGGUGAAAGCAGGGGAUCUUCGGACCUUGCGCAGAUGGAUGAGCCGAUGCCGGAUUAGCUAGUUGGAGGGGUAAAGGCCCACCAAGGCGACGAUCCGUAGCUGGUCUGAGAGGAUGAUCAGCCACACUGGGACUGAGACACGGCCCAGACUCCUACGGGAGGCAGCAGUGGGGAAUAUUGGACAAUGGGCGCAAGCCUGAUCCAGCCAUGCUGCGUGUGUGAAGAAGGCCUUCGGGUUGUAAAGCACUUUUGUUGGGAAAGAAAAGCAGCCGGUUAAUACCCGGUUGUCAUGACGGUACCCAAAGAAUAAGCACCGGCUAACUUCGUG